rnacentral:rRNA from 1 species
UACGUAGGGGGCAAGCGUUGUCCGGAAUCAUUGGGCGUAAAGCGCGUGUAGGCGGCUCGAUAAGUCUGCUGUGAAAGUCCAGGGCUCAACCCUGGAAAGCCGGUGGAAACUGUCGGGCUAGAGUCCGGAAGAGGCGAGUGGAAUUCCUGGUGUAGCGGUGAAAUGCGCAGAGAUCAGGAGGAACACCAAUGGCGAAGGCAGCUCGCUGGGACGGUACUGACGAUGAGACGCGAAAGCGUGGGGAGCAAACAGG